rnacentral:rRNA from 1 species
UACGUAGGGGGCAAGCGUUGUCCGGAAUCAUUGGGCGUAAAGCGCGUGUAGGCGGCUUGGUAAGUCUGCUCUGAAAGCCCGGGGCUCAACCCCGGGAGGCGGGUGGAUACUGUCAAGCUCGAGUCCGGAAGAGGCGAGUGGAAUUCCUGGUGUAGCGGUGAAAUGCGCAGAUAUCAGGAGGAACACCUAUUGCGAAGGCAGCUCGCUGGGACGUAACUGACGCUGAGACGCGAAAGCGUGGGGAGCAAACAGG